rnacentral:rRNA from 1 species
CGUUACUCGGAAUUACUGGGCGUAAAGCGUGCGUAGGUGGUUCGUUAAGUCUGAUGUGAAAGCCCUGGGCUCAACCUGGGAACUGCAUUGGAUACUGGCGAUCUGGAGUGCGGUGGAGGGUAGCGGAAUUCCCGGUGUGGCGGUGAAAUGCGUAGAUAUCGGGAGGAACAUCCGUGGCGAAGGCGGCUACCUGGACCAGCACUGACACUGAGGCACGAAAGCGUGGGGAGCAAACAGGAUUAGAUACCCUGGUAGUC